CGGCGGACGGGUGAGUAACACGUGGAUAACCUACCUAUAAGACUGGGAUAACUUCGGGAAACCGGGGCUAAUACCGGAUAAUAUUUUGAACCGCAUGGUUCAAAAGUAAAAGACGGUCUUGCUGUCACUUAUAGAUGGAUCCGCGCUGCAUUAGCUAGUUGGUAAGGUAACGGCUUACCAAGGCAACGAUGCAUAGCCGACCUGAGAGGGUGAUCGGCCACACUGGAACUGAGACACGGUCCAG
rnacentral:rRNA from 1 species